rnacentral:rRNA from 1 species
UUCCAGACUCCUACGGGAGGCAGCAGUGAGGAAUAUUGGUCAAUGGACGCAAGUCUGAACCAGCCAUGCCGCGUGCAGGAUGACGGCUCUAUGAGUUGUAAACUGCUUUUGUACGAGGGUAAACCCCGAUACGUGUAUCGGGUUGAAAGUAUCGUACGAAUAAGGAUCGGCUAACUCCGUGCCAGCAGCCGCGGUAAUACGGAGGAUCCGAGCGUUAUCCGGAUUUAUUGGGUUUAAAGGGUGCGUAGGCGGUUUGAUAAGUUAGAGGUGAAAUGUCGGGGCUCACCCCCGAAACUGCCUCUAAUACUGUUGGACUAGAGAAUAGUUGCGGUAGGCGGAAUGUAUGGUGUAGCGGUGAAAUGCUUAGAGAUCAUACAGAACACCGAUUGCGAAGGCAGCAUACCGGCGCUCAACUGACGCUCAUGCACGAAAGCGUGGGUAUCGAACAGGAUUAGAUACCCGAGUA